rnacentral:rRNA from 1 species
GACGUAGGGCGCGAGCGUUGUUCGGAUUUACUGGGCGUAAAGCGCGUGUAGGCGGCUUGGCAAGUCGGAUGUGAAAGCCCACGGCUCAACCGUGGAAGCGCAUCCGAAACUGCUUCGCUCGAGUCUCGGAGAGGAAGGUGGAAUGCUUGGUGUAGAGGUGAAAUUCGUAGAUAUCAAGCAGAACACCUGCGGCGAAGGCGGCCUUCUGGACGAUGACUGACGCUGAGACGCGAAAGCGUGGGGAGCAAACAGG